UCCCAUAUAGUGUAGUGGUUUAGCAUUCAUAUUUUCAUCUCUUGAUGGAUAAUUCUGGCGUCCCGGGCCCGAACCCCGGUAUGGGAA